UUAGUGGCGGACGGGUGAGUAACGCGUGGGCAACCUGCCUCAUACUGGGGGAUAACAGUUGGAAACGACUGUUAAUACCGCAUAAGCGCACAGAGUCGCAUGACUCAGUGUGAAAAACUCCGGUGGUAUGAGAUGGGCCCGCGUCAGAUUAGCCAGUUGGCGGGGUAACGGCCCACCAAAGCGACGAUCUGUAGCCGGACUGAGAGGUCGGACGGCCACAUUGGGACUGAGACACGGCCCAAACUCCUACGGGAGGCAGCAGUGGGGGAUAUUGCACAAUGGAGGAAACUCUGAUGCAGCGACGCCGCGUGAGUGAAGAAGUAUUUCGGUAUGUAAAGCUCUAUCAGCAGGGAAGAAAGGCUCGUAAGAGAGAUGACGGUACCUGACUAAGAAGCCCCGGCUAACUACGUGCCAGCAGCCGCGGUAAUACGUAGGGGGCAAGCGUUAUCCGGAUUUACUGGGUGUAAAGGGAGCGCAGACGGUCAAGCAAGUCUGAAGUGAAACCCCACGGCUCAACCGUGGGCUUGCUUUGGAAACUGUUUGACUAGAGUACUGGAGAGGUAAGCGGAAUUCCUAGUGUAGCGGUGAAAUGCGUAGAUAUUAGGAGGAACAUCGGUGGCGAAGGCGGC
rnacentral:rRNA from 2 species